rnacentral:rRNA from 1 species
AUGAACGCUGGCGGCGUGCCUAAUACAUGCAAGUCGAGCGAACGGACGAGAAGCUUGCUUCUCUGAUGUUAGCGGCGGACGGGCGAGUAACACGUGGAUAACCUACCUAUAAGACUGGGAUAACUUCGGGAAACCGGAGCUAAUACCGGAUAAUAUUUUGAACCGCAUGGUUCAAAAGUGAAAGACGGUCUUGCUGUCACUUAUAGAUGGAUCCGCGCUGCAUUAGCUAGUUGGUAAGGUAACGGCUUACCAAGGCAACGAUGCAUAGCCGACCUGAGAGGGUGAUCGGCCACACUGGAACUGAGACACGGUCCAGACUCCUACGGGAGGCAGCAGUAGGGAAUCUUCCGCAAAGGGCGAAAGCCUGACGGAGCAACGCCGCGUGAGUGAUGAAGGUCUUCGGAUCGUAAAACUCUGUUAUUAGGGAAGAACAUAUGUGUAAGUAACUGUGCACAUCUUGACGGUACCUAAUCAGAAAGCCACGGCUAACUACGUG